GUGGGGAAUCUUGCGCAAUGGGCGAAAGCCUGACGCAGCCAUGCCGCGUGAAUGAUGAAGGUCUUAGGAUUGUAAAAUUCUUUCACCGGGGACGAUAAUGACGGUACCCGGAGAAGAAGCCCCGGCUAACUUCGUGCCAGCAGCCGCGGUAAUACGCAGGGGGCUAGCGUUGCUCGGAAUUACUGGGCGUAAAGGGCGCGUAGGUGGACAGUUUAGUCAGAGGUGAAAGCCCAGGGCUCAACCUUGGAAUUGCCUUUGAUACUGGCUGUCUUGAGUACGGGAGAGGUGAGUGGAACUCCGAGUGUAGAGGUGAAAUUCGUAGAUAUUCGGAAGAACACCAGUGGCGAAGGCGACUCACUGGCCCGUUACUGACGCUGAGGCGCGAAAGCGUGGGGAGCAAACAGGAUUAGAUACCCCGGUAGUCC
rnacentral:rRNA from 1 species